rnacentral:rRNA from 1 species
GACGAACGCUGGCGGCGUGCCUAAUACAUGCAAGUCGAACGCAUUUUCUUUCACCGUAGCUUGCUACACCGAAAGAAAAUGAGUGGCGAACGGGUGAGUAACACGUGGGUAACCUGCCCAUCAGCGGGGGAUAACACUUGGAAACAGGUGCUAAUACCGCAUAAUUCCAUUUACCGCAUGGUGGAUGGAUGAAAGGCGCUUUUGCGUCACUGAUGGAUGGACCCGCGGUGCAUUAGCUAGUUGGUGGGGUAACGGCCUACCAAGGCUGCGAUGCAUAGCCGACCUGAGAGGGUGAUCGGCCACACUGGGACUGAGACACGGCCCAGACUCCUACGGGAGGCAGCAGUAGGGAAUCUUCGGCAAUGGACACAAGUCUGACCGAGCAACGCCGCGUGAGUGAAGAAGGUUUUCGGAUCGUAAAACUCUGUUGUUAGAGAAGAACAAGGAUGAGAGUGGAAAGUUCAUCCCUUGACGGUAUCUAACCAGAAAGCCACGGCUAACUACGUG